CUGAAAGUCACUCACCGUCCUGAGGUCAGAUUCUAAUGUGCUUCUUCUACAUGGACGGAUUUCGUUUACUAAGUCAUAAGCGUCACCAAACCCAGGCAGAGUUUACUGGGUCCUUUCGAAGACUGGUUCGCGAUGUGACGGCUGGGCCGACACAAGUGGCGCCCGGACAGGGACCUGAGUAUCGAGGGAUCCAGGGAAGGACACCGCGGAGAAGAAGAAAACCUCAACGAAAAGGUAAGGAGCGGUGAGUUUUCUUGUAAAUAUUAAAAAUGGGAGCCGGCAGUAGUCGCAUGCUUUUGGUACAUAUGCUCAAAGACUUAUUGCGUGUCGAUGGGGCUAGAGUAGGGCACCAGCAAUUGUGUGAUUUUUAGAAUUUGUAGAAAUAGUUUGUCCUUAGUUUCCUGAGGAGGGCACAGUUAAUCUAAAAACUUGGAGUAAGGUAGGGAAACGAUCACAGGAUUAUUAUGCUGCACACGGACCUAGCAAGGUACCUAUGGAUGCUUUUAGCUUAUGGACUCUCACCCGAGAUAGUUUAGAUCCCAGACACACACACACACACACACACACACACACACACACGAGAGAGAGAGAGAGAGAGAGAGAGAGAGAGAGAGAGGGAGAGAGCCCUCUUUAAUUGCUCUAGUUUCAGGGCCCCUUAAAAGUUAAAAACCUGUUAGGAUCAAUUCUCAACCUCUUUUGUCCCCUGUUCAACUAGGGUUACAACACGCUUUAAAUAUUGGGAAAGCCUUAUCUGGAUUUUGCCUUUGAUGCUCAGGAUACUCAGGGAGACCCUGUUCGACAACUCGCCCCCAUCCCUUUUAAACAAUUAAAAGAAUUAAAAAAUGUUUUGUGCCCAGUAUGGGCCGACUGCCCCUUUUACGUUAGCCAUG
rnacentral:lncRNA from 1 species